rnacentral:rRNA from 1 species
CCUACGGGGGUCAGCAGUGAGGAAUAUUGGUCAAUGGACGCAAGUCUUAACCAGCCAUGCCGCGUGCAGGAAGACGGCUCUAUGAGUUGUAAACUGCUUUUGUACGAGGGUAAAUCCCGAUACGUGUAUCUGGUUGAAGGUAUCGUACGAAUAAGGAUCGGCUAACUCCGUGCCAGCAGCCGCGGUAAUACGGAGGAUUCAAGCGUUAUCCGGAUUUAUUGGGUUUAAAGGGUGCGUAGGCGGUUCGAUAAGUUAGAGGUGAAAUCCCGGGGCUCAACUCCGGCACUGCCUCUGAUACUGUCGGGCUAGAGUUUAGUUGCGGUAGGCGGAAUGUAUGGUGUAGCGGUGAAAUGCAUAGAGAUCAUACAGAACACCGAUUGCGAAGGCAGCUUACCAAACUACGACUGACGUUGAGGCACGAAAGCGUGGGGAGCAAACAGGAUUAGAUACCCGUGUAGUC